CAGGAUGAACGCUAGCGGCAGGCUUAAUACAUGCAAGUCGAGGGGCAGCAUGGUGUAGCAAUACACUGAUGGCGACCGGCAAACGGGUGCGGAACACGUACAGAACCUUCCUUCGAGCGGGGAAUAGCCCAGAGAAAUUUGGAUUAAUACCCCAUAGUAUUAUGGAGUGGCAUCACUUUGUAAUUAAAGAUUUAUCACUUGAAGAUGGCUGUGCGGCUGAUUAGGUAGUUGGCGGGGUAACGGCCCACCAAGCCUGCGAUCAGUAACUGGUGUGAGAGCACGACCAGUCACACGGGCACUGAGACACGGGCCCGACUCCUACGGGAGGCAGCAGUAAGGAAUAUUGGUCAAUGGACGAAAGUCUGAACCAGCCAUGCCGCGUGGAGGAUGAAGGUCCUCUGGAUUGUAAACUUCUUUUAUAUGGGACGAAAAAGGCCUUUCUAGGUCGUCUGACGGUACCAUAUGAAUAAGCACCGGCUAACUCCGUG
rnacentral:rRNA from 1 species